rnacentral:rRNA from 1 species
AGCGAACGCUGGCGGCAUGCCUAACACAUGCAAGUCGCACGGGGGGGCUUCGGCCUCCCAGUGGCGGACGGGUGAGGAACGCGUAGGGACCUGUCGAGGGGUGGGGGAUAACCGCGGGAAACUGCGGCUAAUACCGCAUGACGCCGCGGCGUGACAGCCGGGGCCAAAGGCGAAAGCCGCCCGCCGAGGGGCCUGCGUCCGAUUAGCUGGUUGGCGGGGUAGCGGCCCACCAAGGCGUCGAUCGGUAGCUGGUCUGAGAGGGUGAUCAGCCACACCGGGACUGAGACACGGCCCGGACUCCUACGGGAGGCAGCAGUGGGGAAUAUGGGACAAUGGGCGCAAGCCUGAUCCAGCAAUGCCGCGUGGGUGAAGAAGGUCUUCGGAUUGUAAAGCCCUUUCGGCGGGGACGAUGGUGACGGGACCCGCAGAAGAAGCCCCGGCUAACUUCGU